rnacentral:lncRNA from 1 species
UUCGGACCAGAUCAAUUCAAAAGUUACAUUUUUCUUAGAGUGGAGAUUGAAUUCUUAAAUAAAAAAAUAAUCUAAUUAGUAACCUUUCUAAUGUACAAAAUAAUAGGUGAUAUACAUGAUAUAAGUCAUUUAUUCUUAAUUAUGAUAUAAAAUAAAAUAAGUAAUUUAACUAAUAUCUAACCAAUAAAAAUAAUGGUCAUGAUGUCAAAACUUAAAAGUAUCAAAUAGCAUAUAUUUUAAUAAUAUAUUAAUUAUUAAUUAAAUCCUCUGUUGUGAGAAUUGCUAUCUGAAAUAAUUUAUAUUUAUAUUCAAAUUAUUAAAAAAUAACAAUAUGUUAUACAAAUACUAAGAAAUAUAAUUCAAGAAAUAUAUGGGGAUGAAGAUAUAUAAUAGAAAUUUAGGAAAAUCAAGAGCAAUAGAAUAUCUCAUUAAAAUACUAGAAAUAUAAAUUUUGAAGUUACUAAAAAUGACAAUGUAUGAAUAAAA